GGCCAGAUAGCUCAGUGGUUAGAGUGUCUGGGUGCAAACAAGAAGGUUCUGGGUUCAAAUCCCUGCCUGGUCA